AUGUCUUCUUUUGCUUUAAUUCUCUUAUUAUUUCAGCUCCAUGUUAUGUCUUUAUCCAUUUGGAUAAGGAUGACUUUCAAUGGUACAGCAACACUUCAGGAAUUACACAGCCUUGYCAAUAAGGUAGCAAAUACAUGGCCUAUGAAGUUCUCACCAGCAUACAAGGCGAGAAAGAAGACGGAACUUCUCAUGCAGCCCAGAGGAGCCAGUCACUAGCAGGAACUUGAUCAGCAGAACGGCUUUCAAUGUUUUUUGUAAAAUAUGGACACUCGACCUGGAUGAAUACUAAGGCACUCCAUACCUUCUGAGGACUACUGGACAAGACCGGAUCUCUAAUGAACCUAAUGAUAAUUAUGUUAAGAAUUGUCUAUCGAAUCUAUGACCUUUAAUCUCUUAGUAGGURCUGUAAUGACACCUAUUGCUUCAGCACUAUAUGGCAUGUGACAGAAGCAAGAACUCUGAUAGAAGCCUUAGUAUAUUACAUCCAACUUUAUCAGCUCAUAACUUGUCAAACAGUAGUAAGAAAUUCGCUUGAUAAGAUCUAGUUUUCCAUUURAAAAAUCUUAAUGGCAAUUGGAUUUCCUUCCUAUAAUUAUUAUUACUUUGACAGUAGGACCUUAGUCAAUCAGUUCUCUUAAAAUCUGUCAAAGAGAAGUUGUUGUUUUCCGAGCAGCACACUUGGAAGCGUUAGCUGUAUCUAGCCAGUUUAAUAUCUGUUCCUGCUUGUUAUGUAGAAAAAACAUCAGGUUCYUGUUAAUAACAGAAUUCAUGGCUGGGAAAUUGUAGCAAUUGAUCAAAAUGAUGGAUAAACUGUAAUUAAGCCAAUUAACUACAAGAACAUUUGUAUAUCAGCAGGUUGGAAAUGAGAGGCUCACAUCAAAGACGUGUAUAUUAUGGAAAAAGAUACAUACCAUUCCCUCCUUUGUUUUCUGAGGAGAAUCAGGGGUGAUUAAAAAAAAAAAAAUCCUCUACUGUUCAGAAAUCAUAUGUUAUGAAAUGAUACGUUACAUCCAAUGGACUGUUCUUUACAGGGAACUAUGAUACUGCUGGAAUUGAAAAAAUAAAAGGUCUACUUUUUGUAUUGAAUGCA
rnacentral:lncRNA from 1 species